UCCCUGAGGGUCCAGUGGUUAGGACUUGGCACUUUCAUUGCCGAGGCCUGGGUUCAAUCCCUGGUCAGGGAA